GUGCACGCUGGCGGUAGGCCUAACACCUGCCAGUCGCACGGCAGCACAGUAAGAGCUUGCUCUUACGGGUGGCGAGUGGCGGACGGGUGAGGAAUACAUCGGAAUCUACUUUUUCGUGGGGGAUAACGUAGGGAAACUUACGCUAAUACCGCAUACGACCUACGGGUGAAAGCAGGGGAUCUUCGGACCUUGCGCGAUUGAAUGAGCCGAUGUCGGAUUAGCUAGUUGGCGGGGUAAAGGCCCACCAAGGCGACGAUCCGUAGCUGGUCUGAGAGGAUGAUCAGCCACACUGGAACUGAGACACGGUCCAGACUCCUACGGGAGGCAGCAGUGGGGAAUAUUGGACAAAGGGCGCAAGCCUGAUCCAGCCAUACCGCGUGGGUGAAGAAGGCCUUCGGGUUGUAAAGCCCUUUUGUUGGGAAAGAAAAGCAGCAGGUUAAUACCCCGCUGUUCUGACGGUACCCAAAGAAUAAGCACCGGCUAACUUCGUG
rnacentral:rRNA from 1 species